ACUGUGGAGUGUACAAGAACUUGUGAGUAGCAUCUAAAUUUAUUUAGUGUGAAAGCAUACACAUUGAAGCAGUAA
rnacentral:sRNA from 12 species